CCUACGGGAGGCAGCAGUAGGGAAUCUUCCACAAUGGGCGAAAGCCUGAUGGAGCAACGCCGCGUGGGUGAAGAAGGUCUUCGGAUCGUAAAACCCUGUUGUUAGAGAAGAAAGUGCGUGAGAGUAACUGUUCACGUUUCGACGGUAUCUAACCAGAAAGCCCCGGCUAACUACGUGCCAGCAGCCGCGGUAAUACGUAGGUGGCAAGCGUUAUCCGGAUUUAUUGGGCGUAAAGGGAACGCAGGCGGUCUUUUAAGUCUGAUGUGAAAGCCUUCGGCUUAACCGGGGUAGUGCAUUGGAAACUGGGAGACUGGAGUGCAGGAGAGGAGAGUGGAACUCCAGGUGUAGCGGUGAAAUGCGUAGAUAUAUGGAAGAACACCAGUGGCGAAAGCGGCUCUCUGGUCUGUAACUGACGCUGAGGUUCGAAAGCGUGGGUAGCAAACAGGAUUAGAUACCCUGGUAGUC
rnacentral:rRNA from 1 species